rfam:Schistosoma rodhaini strain Burundi genome assembly, scaffold: SROB_scaffold0000832
AUCCAGCUGAUGAGUUCUAAAUAGGACGAAACGCGCAUCCUGGAU